rnacentral:tRNA from 1 species
GGAGCGGUGGCUGAGAGGCUGAAAGCAACCGUUUGCUAAAUGGUCGUACUGCGUUAAACAGUACCGGGGGUUCGAAUCCCCCCCGCUCCG